rnacentral:misc_RNA from 1 species
AAAAAAAAAAAAAAAAAAACCUACAAACAGCUUCUUCUAAAACAGAAAGAAAUUAUAUAAAUAACAUUUGAUUCCAAAACCCUAGGACAAAAACCCAGGAAUUAGCGUGAGAGAGAAUUUAGGCCAAAAGGAACAAGGAAAAAGAAAGUUACCCAACAAGGAAACCAACGAGACUGGCAGUUUUAUGGUGUGAGAAAUACGACAAAUAAAAGGUUUUUCAGGAGCAGAAGAAGCAAAUAAGUGACGAACAAGCAGAGAAACAGAGAGGCUGAGGAAGAGGCUGAGGCAGCUAGAACGAAAAAGAUCCGUUGGGAGAGUAGCGUAGAUAUAGAGAGACACACACACACUCAGAGUCUCUGUGUAAUGUGAAUUGAGGAGAGUUGAAAGGAUGAGACGAGAAAACA